CAGAGCUGAGAAGACAGAAGUGCUGAGUGAAGAUCUCUUGCAGGUGGAGAAGCGCCUGGAGCUGGUGAAGCAGGUGUCCCACAGCACCCACAAGAAGCUGACGGCCUGCCUGCAGGGGCAGCAAGGCGUGGAUGCCGACAAGCGCUCC